GCGUGAUGGGAGGAGCCGUGGGUCUUAAAGGAGAAGUCUUGGAGCCUCGACUCUGCGAGCACUUGAAAGGAUCGCGGACGCUACGACUUGUUUGAUGGAAAGCUCAAAGAAGAAUGGAGCUAGGAGGGGCUUCCUGACCUUUGGGGGAAAGCCGAGCACGCAGAUCCUGGGCUCAAAUCAUUCUGCCUCUUCCUGGGGGCGUAUUGUGACCCAAGGGGAUUCCCUCCCUUUCUGGGCCUCGGUUUUAGAGAAAGGCCCUAAUGCGGGAGUGGUGGGGGUCAAAUCCGGGGCCUUCCCCAGCCUUCUAGGCCUGCCCGCUUCCAAACUGCCCCUAGCAGGACAGCGUCACGGUCUCCAUAGUGACAGAGGCCUGCCCCCAAUCCCUCUGCCACAUCUGCGUAUUGGGGGAAAUAGCACUGGAUGACGACAAAUUCCGGUUACUAAAUUAGGGUCCAACGCAUCCUGAGACCUCAAGCCGAUAACCUACUGGGAAGGUGCACAGCAUACGUCUCUGUCACAACUACUCAACUCUGCCGUUGUAGCAUGAAAGCAGCCAUGGGUGUUCUUUCUUGACUCCUUGAACAAACAUGCUUGUUAGAAUCAGAAUGUUCCAGACACUGACCUUCUGGAUUGCCCUGUUGAGCCCUUGGGUUUGCAGUAAGUUCAAUUUUUUCUCUAUCUUCACAGGAAAAUGAUACAUCCCCUAUUAAAUAAGGGAUCCUCACUCCUUUUGAUCUCUUCACUGGAAAAAAUAUACCACCCUUGGUAGCUAAAACCACAGUCCAAAAUUCAAAUUCUUGGCCAAGGAUUGUAUAAUUGACUAAAGGAUUAUAAAGGUGACAAUUCCAGAGCCACCUUGAGAUGGGUGUUGGUAAGUCCUGGGAGCUUGUGGACUGACACAGUUCACAAGGACAGGUAGAGGCUGGUCACGCAUGGCCUACUUGGGCCUACACAAAGUUCACGGACACAUGCUCAGGAGUGAAACUCAGCUCCUUUUGAGGUUUGAGGGUCAGCCUAAAAAUCUGGCUGAAAACAUGGCAGAACAAAAAGUUAUUCCAUCCACCAGGGCCUUACCUGGAAAGCCUUUGUAGCUAAUAUUCUGCCCAUUUUGAGGUAAGACCAAAAGACCAUAUAUUUGGUGAACUAACCUCUAUUUUUGCCUUACCUGUAGUGCCAGGUCACCUUUGCCCAUGAAAUCGGCACCCGAAAGCCUGUGAGCUCUUGUUACCAAGACCCUAUGGUGCUCCAAGGACAAUGGUGCUUUAAGGACAAAGGAUGACCCUGCCUGAAAAUGUUUCAGCUGUUACACCCCCUACCGGACUCUUACUCGCCCUCCCACCACGUUGCAAUGGUUACAAGAUUCCUGAGCCCACCUGGGCGACGCCCACCUGGGCAACUGGACCUGUCCCAAGUAAGGAAAAGCAUCUGCCCUGUCCCACUCCCACCUAUAGAAGGAAGGUAUAUGUUCCUCGACCAAUCAGUAAAUGACAUUUUCACCUCGGACCAUUCCUUUGUUUUCUGGCUGUAAAAACUGAUCAAUAGCACAUGUUCAGGCCCGACUCUCCCAGACGACUAGGAAGUCAGCCCGCUGUUCUGGCAGCGACCCUUUCCU